CACAAGUACUCCUUUUCUUUUUGAAGAACCAGCUUGAUGCUGCUCAGGUCCAGGUCCCCUAUCUCUAGUCUGAACCAAAUGAAAAUGAAUGAUUGCAAGAAAGAACUUCAUAAGUGAACUAACAGGAAAAGAAACAUGGCAGG